GGAAACUUUUGGAAGUGAAGCAUUUAAGGACAAUGACAUUUUGCCUUGUUAUUUUUAAAUCAUAUUUCCUUAGUCAACAGAUCCAGAAUACUAGCCAAUAAUCUUGGAUUUCAUUAAAGACUGGAGGCAGAAGAAUCAGGUUGUAGGCAUUCUCUACUGAAAAUUGCUAUUUCAUAUUCAUUUUCUUCAAAAUCAUAAUUAGUUUCUGUGAUGGUAGGAGCUGAAUAGGCAGACCAACUUGUCUGUGGCAUCCAGCCGGCAAGUGUGUGUACCUCAUGGCACCCUGUCACGAAGAGUCAUGCCAUCUUACUGCUACCUUCUUUGUUGUGGAAGCUGAGGGAACUCACCAAAACUUCCAUUUACAGCAGCCUCACCAGAAACUCUGGUUCUUAGGAAUCCUCAUUUCCUGUGUUACUGCAGUGGUCUCCUGUCUAGCCCUCUGACUGCUUACAGGUCUGAUUAAAUUCAAUAAACAAGUAGUAAGUACCUAUUUUCCA
rnacentral:lncRNA from 1 species